rnacentral:tRNA from 2 species
CGGGGAAUGGCGCAGUUGGCAGCGCGCACGCAUGGGGUGCGUGAGGUCGCCGGUUCGAAUCCGGCUUCCCCGACCA